AUGGCCCGCCCUCCGGCGAACGGCGUACCGGCGCCGCAGCCUCCGCCACCUCCCCCAGGCCGCUGCCACUUCUGGCUCCCCAACAAGCGCCGCCACUGCGCCAACUCCCCUAUCCCAUCCUCCCAGUACUGCGGGAACCACUCGCCGGAGUCCUCCUCCGACUCGCGCCGCCGAGUCCCCUGCCCCGUCGACCCCUCCCACACGGUGUUCGAGGAGAACCUGGAGGCUCACGUCGGCAAGUGCCCCUUCAGGAAGCAGGCCGACGCCCUUGCCGGGCAGCCGUACUACUCCAAGGGCAUCAACUCCGGAGGGGGAGAUGCCGGUGGCGCCGCCGUCACCUCCGCCUCCAAGCGCGCUUCCGUGCACAAGCUCUCAGAGGAGGAGUUCUGGGCCUUGGUUGGGAAGAUCCGGUCGGCGCACGCUGCGGCGGCCGUCCAAAUGCGCGAGUCCUACAUCGCCCCAGACGCCUGUGAUAAGUGGAUGAAGGGGCAGGUUGAUAGGAAGGUGCCGUAUCAGGAGAAGCACGUUGUGCAGCAGGUGUCGAUCGUGGGGAACAUGGAAACAUUUGGUCUGCUGCCGAGGGGUGGCGCUGAGGAUGCAACGAAGGAGAUCGCGUUGAAGAAUGCUCCGGCAGUUGUUGAAUUUGGUGCUGGGAGGGGUUACUUGACUCAGAUGUUGGCAGACUGUUAUGGGAUCAAGAAUAUCUUCUUGGUCGAGAGACGAGCGUACAAGCUCAAGGCUGAUCGAAGUUUAAGGCAAAAUGAGGGUGUUAAAUUGGAGCGUUUGAGGAUAGAUAUUGAGGAUUUGAACCUGCAUGGAGUAAAAGCGUUGAGUGGAAGUCAGUAUCUAGCAAUCGGAAAACAUCUAUGUGGGCCUGCAACAGAUAUGACCAUAAUGUGCUGUCUUCAUGAACUACACAAUCAUACAGAAGAGAAAGGCCAUGACAAGCAUCAUCUCCGGGGCCUUGCUUUAGCCACCUGCUGCCACCAUCUUUGCCAAUGGAAGCAUUAUGCAAGUAAUUACAGCUUGCCAAGCCUUGCAGCAAAUUCUGUUUGGGAUAUAUCAUGCCACUUACCGCUUAGUUGCAUAAUCAUUUUUUUUGUGAUUGCAGAUAAAGCUUUCCUCUCUGGACUAGGGAUUGCGGAGGAAGAGUUCCAUGCCAUGACAUGGUUUAGCAGUUGGGCUGUGGAUGGAGACCACAGCUCCCAGGACUCUUUGGGGUCUGAAGACUCGUCUUCUGAAGUAAUCAGAGGAACCGAGAAGCCUGAUCCGGAGAUUGUCGGAGUCGACAGGAUCAUCCGCGGUAUACCGGGUGUGGAGAGGAGCGCACUGGGAUUCAUGUGCAAAGAUAUCAUUGACACCGGGAGGAUGCUAUGGCUUAGAUCUAAGGGUCUAGAUGCAGACCUCGUAAGCUAUGUUCAGUCAGAUAUUUCGCCGGAGAACCAUUUGCUCAUGGCCAAGUGUAAGUCUUGA
rnacentral:rRNA from 1 species